rnacentral:lncRNA from 1 species
CAGACAUAUGCACAGCACACAGACACAUGCACAGCACACAGACAUAUGCACAACACACAGACACAUGCACAGCACACAGACAUAUCCACAGCACACAGACACAUGCACAGCACACAGACACAUGCACAACACUCAGACACAUGCACAACACACAGACACAUGCACCAGCACACAGACAUAUAUGCACAGCGUACAGACACAUGCACAGCAUACAGACAAACACAUGCAGUACCACACAGACA